rnacentral:rRNA from 1 species
UUAACGCUGGCGGCAUGCCUAAUACAUAGCAAGUCGAACGAGAGUAGCAAUACUCUAGUGGGCGAACGGGUGAGUAACACGUAGGCAAUCUACCCAUUAGACGAGGAUAACUAUUGGAAACGAUAGCUAAAACUGGAUAGGAUAUAGCGAGGCAUCUUGUAAUAUUUAAAGGGUCCUGAAAGGGAACACUAAUGGAUGAGCCUGCGGUGCAUUAGCUAGUUGGUGAGGUAACGGCCCACCAAGGCGACGAUGCAUAGCUGUGCUGAGAGGCAAAACAGCCACAUUGGGACUGAGACACGGCCCAGACUCCUACGGGAGGCAGCAGUAGGGAAUUUUCGGCAAGUGGGGGAAACCCUGACCGAGCAAUGCCGCGUGAAUGAAAAGAAGUUCUUCGGAAUGUAAAAUUCUGUUAUUCGUGAAAGAAAGAUAUUAAUAGGAAAUGAUUAGUAUUUGACGGUACCGAAUGAGAAAGCCCCGGCUAACUAUGUGCCAGCAGCGGC